rnacentral:rRNA from 1 species
UAGGGUUUGAUCAUGGCUCAGAACGAACGCUGGCGGCGUGCUUAAGACAUGCAAGUCGUACGGAAAGGCUCGGUAACUUCGGUUACAGAGCACUCGAGUGGCGCACGGGUGAGUAACGCGUGGGUAAUCUGCCUCUAGGUUUGGGACAACCCCGGGAAACUGGGGCUAAUACCGGAUAAGACCACAGUGCCUUCGGUCACGGUGGAAAAAGGUGGCCUCUCGUAGAAGCUACCGCCAAGAGAUGAGCCCGCGUCCCAUUAGCUUGUUGGUGAGGUAACGGCUCACCAAGGCAUCGAUGGGUAGCUGGUCUGAGAGGAUGAUCAGCCACACUGGAACUGAGACACGGUCCAGACUCCUACGGGAGGCAGCAGUCGGGAAUCUUGGGCAAUGGGCGAAAGCCUGACCCAGCAACGCCGCGUGAGGGAUGAAGGCCUUCGGGUCGUAAACCUCUGUCGGGAGGGAAGAACGGUGACGUUUCGAAUAGGCUCGUCACCUGACGGUACCUCCAAAGGAAGCACCGGCUAACUCCGUGCCAGCAGCCGCGGUAAUACGGAGGGUGCAAGCGUUGUUCGGAAUCACUGGGCGUAAAGCGCGUGUAGGCGGCUUGGCAAGUCGAAUGUGAAAUCCCGGGGCCCAACCCCGGAACUGCAUCCGAAACUGCCUCGCUAGAGUCUCGGAGAGGAAGGCAGAAUUCCCGGUGUAGGGGUG